rnacentral:lncRNA from 1 species
UUUUGUAAUUUCAAAAAAAUAACAAAAAAAAUCUCUUCUUAAAUUAUUCUCAAUCAGUUUGUAAUCACUUUGGCAACAUCUUUAAUUCACCAACUAUCAGCUAAUGCAUUGCGUUUCGAAUGGUAUACUUCGAUGUUCCUUUUAAAUCCUUCCUUAAUCUUCCUAAUUUGUUCUCAGGGGGGAUUUAACGAAAACUCCCGAAAUUUCCCUCAGGACUACCGACUCUUCUAUAUAAUCCGACUUGCUAAUGGAAUGUUGUACAAUCUACUGAUUCUGACUCUUACCGAUAGACGCUUGUUGGAUGGAGAGAGAGAACGGUCCCCAUUUGUAGCCUCCCACUUGCAUUUUCUCCCUUCUAGACAUGCAGAGAUGUGACUAAUUAGCGCCAGAACCCCUCUUGCAAUCAAUGAAGGUGUUUGUCUCUUACGUACUCUUUAUGUAUCCACACGCAUUCCGUCAAGAACGUUCUUUUCAGAAAACCUUUAAAACUUUUGCCACCGGUACAAAAUUGUGCUAAUUGACAAAACGCAUUCCUGUCGAGUUAAGCCCCUUUAAAAUUAAAAAACAGAGCGACUCUUUCCUAAAUUAUAUAUUAAUUAAUAUGGCAGAAAAGUUAGUUGAGCGCGAUGAUCUCGUACAUUACUUGGAUUCCUGAGAGGAAAAUGAAUAUUUAUCAGACAUCCGAAGAGAAUCCACAAACAUGCGAGCAGAAAAAGGAUGAAAAAAAAUUAGUUUAUGUUGUUAUUAUUUUAUGUUUAAUCUGGAUUGAGAUAACCAUCGGCACGUCCUGUAAUUUUUAGUUUAAAUUAAUAAGUUUCUGGGCGAUUAUAGUUAUUAAGCACAAGAGAUUCUAAAGUUGAAUUGUGCAGUUUGAAAAAUGAACAGUAAAUUUCGAUUAAAGGUUUAUAAAAGUCGAAUUUAAUCUCGGGAAACUUGGAGUAAAGAAGAAAAAAAACCAGUCUCAUUACCAAUCAUCGAAGUGACUGAAAAUUGGGAGGAGGACACACCUAUUUUGUGGCAUCGAAAAUGGGGGGAGCGCUAAGUUUAAUCUUGUCCGGGAGGGAACUGGUAUUGAGUGACAGGUCUGAUGGAAGUAAGGAAGGCAUGCUGUUUAUCACAUAAAUUGGUAGGAAAGCUUAAUAAAUACUGCAGGCAGGUGUCGUCGUCUUAUUCAGCCUGCCAAAAGGUGAGAUUUUUCCCACUUUACUACAAGAUAUUUCAGAUUUUUAUUAUUUUACGAUUGAAAGUAGUUGUAUGUGUGUCUGCACCGAUUGCUAUAGAGGUCUUCUUAUCGGCGAAUACGCCCAUGACUGCACAUUUUUUAUUUUCCUUUAAAAAAACUUUCUUGGAAAAAAUAUUUACGAGUUUUAUCAUAAAAAUCUCUUCUCGUCAGUUUAGAAUUAACUGUAACCCACCGAGAGGAAAGUUGGGUUUCAGUUUUAUCUGGUUGGAAAAAAUCUAAGCUUAUAAAUGGAGAAGUAUAGCAACAAACUUCUGACAUUUGUUAAAUUAACCCAGUGAGAACAGAAGCUUGAUGAUUCUCAUGCUGAUACUGAGAAAUGUCCAUAGAUGAUGAAAGGAUUUGCGUCACUUCCCGCGAAAUCUGUCAUGUAUAAAAUCGGUAUAACGCAAAUUAGCAAACCCAGACGACACCCUUUGGUGUAUAUAUCUCCCCCCUCGUCUCUUACUAAACUCACCCUCCUGCGGUCCCGUUCUGGUGUAAAUUGGUUAUCUGCUCGUUACGUCCUUAACAUCAGAUGGUGCGUUGACGAUUAACUUAUUUCCAGAUGAUAUAUCACGUGACUACCACAGAGCAACAGCAUGCAACGUCAAUUAACGAAUAAAGUUGCCCGCGGUUAUCCUAUAAGUCAAUAAUUUGCGAAUAAUUUUUCAUUAAACGCUUGAAAUAUUCGAAUAUGUCAAAAGCGAUUGAACGUUGUAAAGAUGAAUGGCUGUUUUAUUUCUAUCUUUUGAAAAAAAACUGCAAAAUCGCUCUAAAUACUUUUAUUGCAUCGCUACAGUAUUUUAUAUCGCGGCUAUAAUGGAAAGAUAUACACGGAAAAGCGAAAAAAAUUCGUGGCUAAUAGAAAGGAGAUACACACAAAAACCUAUUUAGAUAAAUUCUUCUGGUAGAGAGAAAUUGGAGAUAGAUAUUGAAUGCAUGUCAGUCUCCUUAUCUAUGCCGAAUCUGAC